rnacentral:rRNA from 1 species
GAUGAACGCUGGCGGCGUGCCUAAUACAUGCAAGUAGAACGCUGAAGCUUGGUGCUUGCACCGAGCGGAUGAGUUGCGAACGGGUGAGUAACGCGUAGGUAACCUGCCUCUUAGCGGGGGAUAACUAUUGGAAACGAUAGCUAAUACCGCAUAAAAGUCGAUAUCGCAUGAUAUUGAUUUGAAAGGUGCAAAUGCAUCACUAAGAGAUGGACCUGCGUUGUAUUAGCUAGUUGGUGAGGUAACGGCUCACCAAGGCGACGAUACAUAGCCGACCUGAGAGGGUGAUCGGCCACACUGGGACUGAGACACGGCUCAGACUCCUACGGGAGGCAGCAGUAGGGAAUCUUCGGCAAUGGGGGCAACCCUGACCGAGCAACGCCGCGUGAGUGAAGAAGGUUUUCGGAUCGUAAAGCUCUGUUGUAAGAGAAGAACGAGUGUGAGAGUGGAAAGUUCACACUGUGACGGUAACUUACCAGAAAGGGACGGCUAACUACGU